rnacentral:rRNA from 1 species
UACAGAGGGGGCAAGCGUUAUUCGGAAUUAUUGGGCGUAAAGGGCGCGUAGGCGGCAAUUCAAGUCAGCUGUGAAAUCUCCGGGCUUAACUCGGAACGGUCAGCUGAUACUGCUUUGCUAGAGUGCAGAAGGGGCAAUCGGAAUUCUUGGUGUAGCGGUGAAAUGCGUAGAUAUCAAGAGGAACACCUGGAGGUGAAGACGGGUUGCUGGGCUGACACUGACGUGAGGCGCGAAAGCUAGGGUAGCAAACGGG